CUACUUUGUCAGCCUUUGAAAAUCAAAAUUGUGCUCUCCGUCCGUCCGUCUUCGUCUAAUUUGUCCGCCAUUUUUGUCUACUCUGUCCGCCUUAAAAAAUCAAAUCGCCAAUUUCGUCUACUCUGUCCGCCAUUUUCGUCCAAUAUUCUUGAAAGAUUGGGCAGCAUUGGAUGCAUAUAAAGACAAGAAAACUGGAGAACUUUUGGGUCCACAACAUUCGUUUAAUGUGGAGUUUGCUCAAGACAACAUGCAACAAAUAAGUGAUAGCCUUGAUUGCGGACUAUUCGUAGUUGUAUAUGCAGAAUUCUGAGUGACAAAAUCAACAUGUCAUGUAAUAGUUUUAAGAGUAGCUAUCUUCGCAAAAGAUAUGCGAUUCUUUUAUUGAAGUAUGGUCUCGACAAGAUGAAUGCUGGAUAUGUUAGCAACAGUGAUGACCCUUCAAGAAUGAAGAAUGUAUUAAACCCAUCAUCUGAAGAUGAAAUUGUUAAUGUAGGCUAGUUAGUUUUCAAUGUUUGAUUUUUUUUUGUUUUUUGGAGUUAAACAAGAUGUUUGAAGUAUUUAUUAACAUAACAACACAUAUUGUUAAAUUAUGAAAGUGUUUUGAUUUUUAAAA